CGUGGGUUGUUUGCUUCUCUCCGUGAAUACAUCUGAGUGUGACCAGUGUAAGAGAAGCUGAUGCACUAUCGAUCCACUGAUGAUCUCUCUUCAUUUCUCUCAGCUGACGAGCGCGUGGGUUGUUUGCUUCUCUCCGUGAAUACAUCUGAGUGUGACCAGUGUAAGAGAAGCUGAUGCACUAUCGAUCCACUGAUGAUCUCUCUUCAUUUCUCUCAGCUGACGAGCGCGUGGGUUGUUUGCUUCUCUCCGUGAAUACAUCUGAGUGUGACCAGUGUAAGAGAAGCUGAUGCACUAUCGAUCCACUGAUGAUCUCUCUUCAUUUCUCUCAGAUUAAAAGUCACUGGAUCUCAUUGCUGAGUGUCUGAGUGGUUAUUGUGCAAUGAGUGACGGAUCCAGACA